GAGUUUGAUCUUGGCUCAGAUUGAACGCUGGCGGCAGGCCUAACACAUGCAAGUCGAGCGGAUGAAGGGAGCUUGCUCCUGGAUUCAGCGGCGGACGGGUGAGUAAUGCCUAGGAAUCUGCCUGGGUAGUGGGGGAUAACGUCCGGAAACGGGCGCUAAUACCGCAUACGUCCUGAGGGAGAAAGUGGGGGAUCUUCGGACCUCACGCUAUCAGAUGAGCCUAGGUCGGAUUAGCUAGUUGGUGGGGUAAAGGCCUACCAAGGCGACGAUCCGUAACUGGUCUGAGAGGAUGAUCAGUCACACUGGAACUGAGACACGGCCCAGACUCCUACGGGAGGCAGCAGUGGGGAAUAUUGGACAAUGGGCGAAAGCCUGAUCCAGCCAUGCCGCGUGUGUGAAGAAGGUCUUCGGAUUGUAAAGCACUUUAAGUUGGGAGGAAGGGCAGUAAGUUAAUACCUUGCUGUUUUGACGUUACCAACAGAAUAAGCACCGGCUAACUUCGUGCCAGCAGCCGCAAG
rnacentral:rRNA from 1 species